rnacentral:misc_RNA from 1 species
CACGGCACGGCGUUGUGACGCGAAAGAAAGGUACACUUCGUAUUGCGUCAGCCCGAGCCGGUAGGUGUCGACAAAUGGCUGCCAGCGUAUGACGUCCAUCUCGCGAAGCCUUCCAAUGCUGCGCCGGACGGAGUGCUCAGGCGUGCGGAGGUCACGCGCGAUCUCCGCCACCGGCCGAUUUGCCUGAU